UCCUUCUUAGCUCAGUUGGUAGAGCGCGUCACUAGUAGCAGCUAAUGGUGGUGUUAAUGACGAGGUCAGUCGUUCAAGUCGGCUAGAAGGAA